UAGUCCACGCCGUAAACGAUGUCAACUAGCCGUCUGUGACCUUGAGUCGUGGGUGGCGCAGCUAACGCACUAAGUUGACCGCCUGGGGAGUACGGCCGCAAGGUUAAAACUCAAAUGAAUUGACGGGGGCCCGCACAAGCGGUGGAGCAUGUGGUUUAAUUCGAUGCAACGCGAAGAACCUUACCAGGUCUUGACAUACAGCGAACUUUCCAGAGAUGGAUUGGUGCCUUCGGGAACGCUGAUACAGGUGCUGCAUGGCUGUCGUCAGCUCGUGUCGUGAGAUGUUGGGUUAAGUCCCGUAACGAGCGCAACCCUUGUCCUUAGUUGCCAGCACAUAAUGGUGGGAACUCUAGGGAGACUGCCGGUGACAAACCGGAGGGAAGGGUGGGGACGACGUCAAGUCAUCAUGGCCCUUACGACCUGGGGCUACACACGUGCUACAAU
rnacentral:rRNA from 1 species